UACGGAGGGUGCAAGCGUUAUCCGGAUUCACUGGGUUUAAAGGGUGCGUAGGUGGGCUGGUAAGUCAGUGGUGAAAUCUCCGGGCUUAACUCGGAAACUGCCGUUGAUACUAUCAGUCUUGAAUGUUGUGGAGGUAAGCGGAAUAUGUCAUGUAGCGGUGAAAUGCUUAGAUAUGACAUAGAACACCGAUAGCGAAGGCAGCUUGCUACACAAUAAUUGACACUGAGGCACGAAAGCGUGGGGA
rnacentral:rRNA from 1 species